GGGCGCAUAACUCAGCGGUAGAGUGCGUCCUUCACACGGACGAAGUCGCAGGUUCGAUCCCUGCUGCGCCCACCA
rnacentral:tRNA from 1 species